GUGGUGCCAGAGGCCCAACAUUAGCCUACAGUUGACUGUAGGGUGGUGCCAGAGGCCCAACACUCUCACCCAAACACCCACUCCAACUCCCAACAUCUGAAGGGGUAGGCAGCGCACCAUUGCACAUAUUUGGCUGCAUCGGGACACUCCUUAAAACAGUACAUACACCACCCCCCCCCCCCCCCCCCCCCCCACCACCCUCCAAACCAACCCAGUGCCCCAGGGACCGCGGACAAGGAAUAAGGUCAUUAGAACAUGGGGAAAUGGGGCAUUAGAAAAUGGGGGGGUCAUUAUAAAGCAUCUUUUCAGCCAUGGUCAACUUUGGGAAUCUAACAGACAUGAGCUGGCACACACCCAGAAAAAAGAUUUUGUGUGGAGGUGCUGACUAACGGCAAAUAAACUACAAAAUAAAGAUAGUCAAACACUCUAUAUAUAAACUCCCAGUAAUUUAUUGGAUAAAUCACCUUCCUUUGGGAAUCUGUCACAUAUUCCUCAACAGGGAUACUAACUUCUAGUUCUCCUCUUCAGCCAAACGACACAGGAAAUAAUCAACACACAAGAGUUUCAUCCACAACGAUUCAUAGAAUGACUGUUUACAGCUCACAUUUAUAGAAUAAACUAAAGAUCACACUGAAAAGAAUUGACAUCCCAUUUUCUACUAUUCUGUCAUAAGAUAAAAGUAAGCUCUCUUUUUGAGAGAGGAAAAAACAUUUUCCCUCCUCAGUGGGCACUGGGGGUCGGGAAACAGGGACGGAAGGUUCUGGCAAAGUGCCGCACUGCUCACAUGAGGUCCAGGAGGGAAUAAGGGAGGGAAGGGGACUCCUGUAACAAGCCCCAAUGGGAACUCCUAGACACAGGAGGAAAACUCCAAACUACUGUAGUGUCGACGAGUGCACCGCCAGCAUCUACCGUGGUGUCGACAGGUGCACCGCCAGCAUCAACCGUAGUGUCAACGAGUGCACCGUCAGCAUCGACGUAGUGUCAACGAGUGCACCGUCAGCAUCUACCGUAGUGUCGACAAGUGCACCGCCAGUAUCUACCGUAGUGUCGACGAGUGCACCGCCAGUAUCUACCGUAGUGUCGACGAGUGCACCGCCAGCACCUGCCGUAGUGUCGACGAGUGCACCGCCAGCACUGGCGUAGUGUCGACGAGUGCACCGCCAGCACCUGCGCAGGUCGACGAGUGCACGCCAGCACCUUCACACUUUGUACACACAUAGGUUACAAAAAAGCAAAUUACUUUAAACCAGUUUUUAGCAGUUUUACUGUUUAGCUCACAAACACCCGUUACCACACUUUUGUGAAAAGCGCAAUCUCAUUCAGUAGUGGUUUCCUGAGUAUAAAAGUAAUAAAUGUAGUGGCUGAUUAGGUUGGUUAGCAACCACUUAACACCCCCAGAAACCAAGCGAGGCAGUUGAGUACAAAGGUAACGGCUAAUUAAUUAACUAAAAUUAAACACUGAAAUGGGAGGAAAAAGCAGCUGACCCCAUGUCCCUAUGGGACCCUUAGUUUCCUGCUCCAACUGUCCCCUCUUUCUGACAUCACAGGUGUUAUAGAACUACCUAUGCAAUUAGAGACUAUGGGAAUAACACUCUUCAGCCUAGUUGCCUGCCCUCCCUUGUUACGGCCCAGACCCCAGGGCCUUGUGUCAGCGCUUGCUGAUAUGAAUACACCUAGAUGCACUUUAUUCACGCUGUAAGAUGCCUCAUUGCUAAUGUAAGCACUGUCCUUAAAGGCCCAAUGCAGCUGGUUUUAUCUCAAUAUCAAAUCAUUUCUGGGUAGCAAAUAAGUACCUUACAUGAUUGUUUUCAAUUAAAACGGUUUAAACUAAAAUAGCUUCUUAAUAAAGGGCAAUUUCUCAAGCAAGAACUUUGCUAGGACUGUCAGAGUGGCCUGAGUGGGGAGGGGAAAAUGUUAAUCCAGCUGUUAUUGGGCAGAUGUUUGGAACUCUUUCUUAUUGGUCUAAUUUACCGCAUGGUGAAAUUUCAGGCGGUGUUUUCAAAACAGCGCUAACACUAAAAUGGCAUUAUCAUCAUUUAUACAAUUUCACAGUAUUAUUCCAACCUCAGUUGAAAUACAUAAAACACAGGAAAUCACCAGUUUGACCGCCCUGGGCUGGGCCUUUAACCGCCAGUUUGACCGCCCUGGGCCCGGGCCUUUAACCGCCCUGGGCCCGGGCCUUUAACCGCCCUGGGCUGGGCCUUUAACCGCCCUGGGCUGGGCCUUUCACCGCCCUGGGCUGGGCCUUUCACCAUCAUUGGGGGACAUGCUAAACUGACCCAAAAUCAGCGUCUACGGGCAACUUCAUCCUACUCCGUUAUAAACAGAGAGGAGAGAGCAUCUGGGCAGUGACCAUACCUCAAUCCCACUGCGGCAUUCUGGGACAGCAGGAUUCUGACUCCACACCCUUGUACCAGCAUCCUGCAUUAAGCUCACAGAGAGCCCCUCCCCCAAGCAGUGCAGCAGGAGGGGGCACGUGUUUACAUAUACAGAUUACAUUUCUCCCAAUGCUCAAAUGUUUUUCGUGCAGGUUUCAUUCAGUUUGGAUGUUUUUUAGAGUGACACAAGUGUGUUACGUAAGUGACAUUCUGUAACACAUUACCAUAUUACAGAGUUAUAUUUGAUGUUAACAUUUAAAUAUACAGUUUAGUCUCACUGACAUCAGAUCUAUUUCACAAGAGAAAACCUGUAGAGAUGGCAGCAGUCACUGAUGACGGUCAGUACUCUGAAGAUACACACGAUGAUGUGUAGGUCAAAGAUACACGC
rnacentral:lncRNA from 1 species